rnacentral:misc_RNA from 1 species
GAUGAAGAACGUAGCGAAAUGCGAUAAGUAAUGCGAAUUGUAGAAUUCAGUGAGUCAUCGAAUCUUUGAACGCACAUUGCGCCCUGUGGUAUUCCGCAGGGCAUGCCUGUUCGAGCGUCAUUUCAACCCUCAAGCCCCGCUUGGUGUUGGGCCCCGCCCGCCGUGGCCGGCCCUAAAGACAGUGGCGGCGCCGCCUGGCCCUCAGCGUAGUACAGCUCUCGCUCCAGGGUCCGGCGGCCGCCUGCCAGAACCCCCCCAACUCUGUGGUUGACCUCGGAUCAGGUAGGGAUACCCGCUGAACUUAAGCAUAUCAAUAAGCGGAGGA